GCCGGACCCAGCAGCGGCGGCAACGGCGGCGGCCGGGCAGGAUGAAGGACGGAAGCGGGGAGCUGCGCGCUGCUCUGCUUGUGUCGUGUCUUCCAAAGCUUGAGGAGAGCUGGUGCUGAGGGUGCUGCAUUAUAAAGAGCCAUCAGCUGCUGCGGAUGGGGGAAGAGCCUGAAGCUCUGCUCAACAUGCGAGAGCUCUGCUGUCCUGGCUCAGCAGGGCUCCACGGCCAGGGUGCUGCAGGGCCAGGAUGAGAUGCUUGAAUAAAUAAGUUGCAAUGUCAGAGACUGAGCUCUGUUUCCAAGAAGUAACAUCAGCCUUUGGGAACUGAAGGACUGCUUACAGGUCAUUGAUGUCCCAGAUCUCUUUUGGCAAAUGGGACUUCAGCUGGAAAGUCCUUCUCUGCAGGGCUGCCCUCCAUCCAUCCAUCCAUCCAUCCAUCCAUCCAUGCCCCAGUGUGUGCUGGUCCUGGGGAUUGCCCUGACCCAGGUACAGGACCUUGCACUUGGCCUGGUUGAACAUCAUGAGCUUCACAUGGACCCACUCCUCCAGCCUGUCCAGGUCCCUCUGGAUGCCAUCCCUUCCCUCCAGCGUAUCGACUGUACCACUCAGCUUGGUGUCAUCUGCAAACUUGCCGAGGGUGCACUCGAUCCCACUGUCUGUGUCGAUCAAGAUGUUGAGCAAGCCGUGGAAGUGGCAUUUGGCAGUUCCUGGUCCCAGAGUGCCCUGUUUCCAGCAAGACUCAAUUCCCUGCACUUGUUCCUGGUUGCUGAAGCAGUGAGACGAUGCCA